UCUGUUGCAAUAUAUAUUCUAAGUUUAAAAAUUUCUCCAAAAAUUUGGCUCCCACAAGAUGGGUAGGAUUUAGACUCAUAAGAAGAGUAAAUAUGGGUGUGAUUUUAUCUUGGCUUUGAUUCUCAGAUGCAUCUCUGCUGGCUAAAUAAUCUUGUGUAUCCUGGCUGUGUGGAAAAUGCAUGAACUACUAUUAAAGGAUUAGGCUAAUGGCAAUAUAUAGACCUCAGAAGCGAUAACUCACCUGUCCAGCAGUAUCGUACAAUCCCAGCAAGUGCUGUCUCCCAGAUACAGUUACAUUUACUGAAAAGAAAAACAAGAACUCUGGACCUGCUGUUUGGUUGUGUGUGGGAAUCGAGAAUGAUUUAGAACAGGACAGCUGUCAAAAGCAAGGGGUGAAUGCUCUUGGAAAAGAGGGAGGGAAAAGCUCUGUGUGUAUGUGUGUGCAUAGCAUAUUUCAUUCUUUGAACGGCAGUUGACACAACUAAGAGGAAAAGACCCAGACAAGCCAGUACUUUUAGUAUUUUACCGGUAUUUUACUUUUUUUUUUUCUUUU